rnacentral:rRNA from 1 species
GAUGAACGCUAGCUACAGGCUUAACACAUGCAAGUCGAGGGGCAGCAUUUCAGCUUGCUUGCAAACUGGAGAUGGCGACCGGCGCACGGGUGAGUAACACGUAUCCAACCUGCCGAUAACUCGGGGAUAGCCUUUCGAAAGAAAGAUUAAUACCCGAUGGCAUAAUUAGACCGCAUGGUCUUAUUAUUAAAGAAUUUCGGUUAUCGAUGGGGAUGCGUUCCAUUAGGCAGUUGGUGAGGUAACGGCUCACCAAACCUUCGAUGGAUAGGGGUUCUGAGAGGAAGGUCCCCCACAUUGGAACUGAGACACGGUCCAAACUCCUACGGGAGGCAGCAGUGAGGAAUAUUGGUCAAUGGGCGCAGGCCUGAACCAGCCAAGUAGCGUGAAGGAUGACUGCCCUAUGGGUUGUAAACUUCUUUUAUAUGGGAAUAAAGUUUUCCACGUGUGGAAUUUUGUAUGUACCAUAUGAAUAAGGAUCGGCUAACUCCGUGCCAGCAGCCGCGGUAAUACGGAGGAUCCGAGCGUUAUCCGGAUUUAUUGGGUUUAAAGGGAGCGUAGGUGGACAGUUAAGUCAGUUGUGAAAGUUUGCGGCUCAACCGUAAAAUUGCAGUUGAUACUGGCUGUCUUGAGUACAGUAGAGGUGGGCGGAAUUCGUGGUGUAGCGGUGAAAUGCUUAGAUAUCACGAAGAACUCCGAUUGCGAAGGCAGCUCACUGGACUGCAACUGACACUGAUGCUCGAAAGUGUGGGUAUCAAACAGGAUUAGAUACCCUGGUAGUCCACACAGUAAACGAUGAAUACUCGCUGUUUGCGAUAUACAGUAAGCGGCCAAGCGAAAGCAUUAAGUGUUCCACCUGGGGAGUACGCCGGCAACGGUGAAACUCAAAGGAAUUGACGGGGGCCCGCACAAGCGGAGGAACAUGUGGUUUAAUUCGAUGAUACGCGAGGAACCUUACCCGGGCUUAAAUUGCAUUUGAAUAUAUUGGAAACAGUAUAGCCGUAAGGCAAAUGUGAAGGUGCUGCAUGGUUGUCGUCAGCUCGUGCCGUGAGGUGUCGGCUUAAGUGCCAUAACGAGCGCAACCCUUAUCUUUAGUUACUAACAGGUCAUGCUGAGGACUCUAGAGAGACUGCCGUCGUAAGAUGUGAGGAAGGUGGGGAUGACGUCAAAUCAGCACGGCCCUUACGUCCGGGGCUACACACGUGUUACAAUGGGGGGUACAGAAGGCAGCUACCUGGUGACAGGAUGCUAAUCCCAAAAGCCUCUCUCAGUUCGGAUCGAAGUCUGCAACCCGACUUCGUGAAGCUGGAUUCGCUAGUAAUCGCGCAUCAGCCAUGGCGCGGUGAAUACGUUCCCGGGCCU